UUUUUAAUUUUAUCCCAAGAAUAAAUAAUAAUGGGGUUGUUAUCCCACUAAAUGAGUGGAUAACUUAUCCCGGUACUAUUUAUUAGUCUCGAGAUAAGUUAUUCCGAAUAUUACAAACCAAACAUGUAUUAAAAAUUUUAUUCUAAAAUUAUUAUUUUAUCCCGAAAUUAUUUAUUUUUAUACCUUACACCAAACAGCGCCUUAACUUUUCUUUUGGGGAGUGCAAUAGAUAGUGAGAAGGUAGAAGAAGUGAUCAUCUAUUGCGCUCUCACGUGUCUUCCACGCCAACAUAUCAUCAAUUACAAGUAUAAGGAAAUUUAUUAAGUUGGAGGUUUAUUGUCAUGUCGAUCGAUCAAUUAUAGAUAUUGUUUACAGUAUUUUAUAUAUUAGGUCAUGAAACCAACAGGUGGCACUCUUAUAACUUAAUUAUUAUAUUGUAUCAAUUAUUCAUUUUUUUU
rnacentral:lncRNA from 1 species